rnacentral:misc_RNA from 1 species
AACGCACAUUGCGCCCCUCGGUAUUCCGGGGGGCACGCCUGUCCGAGCGCCAUUACACCCCCCAAGCUCUGCUUGAUGUUGGGCGAGGUCUUCGUUCGCGAAGACCCGCCUGGAACGCGUGGGCGCCACCCGCCGGACCACCAGCGUAGCAAGACGUCAAGUCCCUCGCUGGCGCGCUUCCGUCGGGCAGUCAGCCUUACCCGAUCUCCGGAUCGACCUAAAGUUUGGCCUCGGAUCAGGCGGGGUUACCCGCUGAACUUAA